rnacentral:rRNA from 1 species
GCUUCAGGAUGAGUCUGCGGCCGAUUAGGUAGUUGUUGGGGUAAAAGCCCAACAAGCCCGUAAUCGGUACGGGUUGUGGGAGCAAGAGCCCGGAGAUGGAUUCUGAGACACGAAUCCAGGCCCUACGGGGCGCAGCAGGCGCGAAAACUUUACAAUGCGGGCAACCGUGAUAAGGAAACCCCGAGUGCCAGCACAGGCUGGCUGUCCGCCAGUUUAAAUAACUGGUGAAGAAAGGGCCGGGCAAGACCGGUGCCAGCCGCCGCGGUAAUACCGGCGGCUCGAGUGGUGGCCGCUUUUACUGGGCUUAAAGGGUCCGUAGCUUGAUUCAUGGGUCCCUUGAGAAAUCUAUCGGCUUAACUGAUAGGCGUUCAGGGGAAACUGUGAUUCUAGGGACCGGGAGAGGUGAGAGGUACUGCCGGGGUAGGAGUGAAAUCCUGUAAUCCCGGUGGGACGACCUAUGGCGAAGGCAUCUCACCAGAACGGCUCCGACAGUGAGGGACGAAAGCUGGGGGAGCAAACCGGAUUAGAUACCCGGGUAGUCCCAGCUGUAAACGAUGCGCGUUAGGUGUGUCAGUGACCACGUGUCACUGAUGUGCCGAAGGGAAACCGUGAAACGCGCCGCCUGGGGAGUACGGUCGCAAGGCUGAAACUUAAAGGAAUUGGCGGGGGAGCACCACA